rnacentral:lncRNA from 1 species
GCUCUUGAGCUACUUGCUUGAGCCUGCUCCCACUCUGUGGAGUAUACUUUCAUUUCAAUAAAUCUGGCUUUUAUUGCUUCAUUCUUUCAUUGCUUUGUUUGUGCAUUUUGUUCAAAACGUCAAGAACUUGGACAAUCUGUAGUCAAGGACCUCCACUGAUAACAGUUCCACAGAUACACGCAAAGACAAAGAACACAGAAAGCACAUCACCCACAAAAUGCAGAGUACUCUGGAAGAUGGAGUCUUGCUUUGUCGCCCAGGCUGGAGUGCAGCGGCACAAUCUCGACUUACUGCAACCUCCACCUCACGGGUUCAAGCGAUUCUGCUGCCUCAGCCACCCCAGGAGCUGGGAUUACGGGUGUCUGCCAUCACCCCUGGAUUCAUAUGUGAAGCCCUAACCCCCAUCGUGAUGGUAUUAGGAGAUGCAGCUCUUGAGAUGUAAUGAAGGUGAGCACACAGCAAGAAGGUAGCUGUCUGCAAGCUGGGAAGAGAGACCUAACCAAAACUUAACCACGCUGGCACCCUGAUCUCAGAAACUCAGUCUCCAGAACUGUGAGAAAAUAAAUGUCUGUUGUUUAAGCCACGCAGUCUGUGGUAUUUUGUUAUAGAAGACUGACUGAGCAGACUAAUACAAGGAUUUUGUAUUCUGACUGUGUCAUGUGUGACUUUGAGCAAUUAUUCAACUUCGCUGAG